AAGCCAGACUCCUACGGGAGGCAGCAGUGGGGGAUAUUGCACAAUGGGGGGAACCCUGAUGCAGCGACGCCGCGUGGGUGAAGGAGCGUUUCGGCGCGUAAAGCCCUAUCGGCAGGGAAGAAGGAGGACGGUACCUGACUAAGAAGCCCCGGCUAACUACGUGCCAGCAGCCGCGGGAAUACGUAGGGGGCAAGCGUUAUCCGGAUUUACUGGGUGUAAAGGGGGCGCAGACGGCAGCGCAAGCCAGGAGUGAAAGCCCGGGGCCCAACCCCGGGACUGCUCUUGGAACUGCGCGGCUGGAGUGCAGGAGGGGCAGGCGGAAUUCCUGGUGUAGCGGUGAAAUGCGUAGAUAUCAGGAGGAACGCCGGUGGCGAAGGCGGCCUGCUGGACUGCGACUGACGUUGAGGCCCGAAAGCGUGGGGAGCAAACAGGAUUAGAUACCCUCGUA
rnacentral:rRNA from 1 species